rnacentral:tRNA from 1 species
AAGAGAGGCUUGCUAGCAACGGAGACUGCUAAUUUCCGACACCUCAGUUAAAUUCUGAGGCUCACUUG